AGAAGCUUAGGAUAACCAAACCAAGAGCCUUCAAAGCCCUUAAUAGAAGUGAAACCCUUCUAGCUUCUG
rnacentral:tRNA from 1 species